rnacentral:tRNA from 1 species
GAGUGUAACUCAGUGGUAGAGUGCUUGCCUAGUAUGUGCAAGGCCCAAAGUUUGAUCCCUAGCAUUGCA